UGUCUUAAGAUAUAUAUAUUUAAGAUAUGUUCUGCUCAAUGAGAAUUAAAUAGCUGCAGUAUAUUGACUGUACAAAGGUAGCAUAAUAGAUUGCCUUUUAAUUGAAGGCUAGAAUGAAUGAAUGAACAAGAAUAUAACUGUUUCUAAUAUAUUUGUAGAAUUUAAUAUAUUAGUGAAGAAGCUAAUAUUUUAUUAAAAGACAGAAAGACCCUUAGAGCUAUUAUAAAUAUUAAUAGUUAAUAUAAAAUUUUAUUUUAACUGGGGUGGUUAAGGAAUAUUAAUAACUUCCUUAUUUUAUUUUGAUUAUAAAUCUAUGAUUGAUCUUUUAGUAGUUAUAGUGAAGUUACCUAAGGGAUAACAGAUUAAUUUUUUUGGAGAGUUCUUAUUGAUAAAAAAGAUUAAUACCUCGAUGUUGGCUUAAAAUUUCCUUUAAGUGAAGAAGUUUAUAUGUUAGUU
rnacentral:rRNA from 1 species